rnacentral:rRNA from 1 species
ACGGAGGGUGCAAGCGUUAUCCGGAUUCACUGGGUUUAAAGGGUGCGUAGGCGGGUGUGUAAGUCCGUGGUGAAAUCUCUGAGCUUAACUCGGAAACUGCCAUGGGUACUGCAUAUCUUGAAUGUUGUGGAGGUGAGCGGAAUAUGUCAUGUAGCGGUGAAAUGCUUAGAUAUGACAUAGAACACCGAUUGCGAAGGCAGCUCACUACACAAAUAUUGACGCUGAGGCACGAAAGCGUGGGGAUCAAACAGGA